rnacentral:sRNA from 1 species
GCUGGGCAUGGUGGCACACACCUGUAAUCCAAGCUACUUGGGAGGCUGAGGCAGGUGGAUCACCAGGGCAAUUUAGUGAAACCUUGUCUCAA